CAUUUCAAAUUUUAGGUGCCAUUAUCACUAUUGUUAUUACAUUGUACCAUUUUAUUUUGAAAAUUAUUUAUACACGCCUUGUUUUUUUCAAAUGCAUCAUUUAUAAAGUAAUUACUAUUUAUAAUCAUUUUAGGUUAUAAUAGAAAAAAAUUAUCCCUAAAUAAUGUAUAUUUUCUAACUUUUAUCUUCCCUUUCUUAUAAACUAAAGCUAUAAUUUUUUGUGUACUCUGUUGUCCAGAUACUAAUAAUAAU